AGUGAACGCUGGCGGUAGGCCUAACACAUGCAAGUCGAACGGCAGCACAGUAAGAGCUUGCUCUUACGGGUGGCGAGUGGCGGACGUGUGAGGAAUACAUCGGAAUCUACUUUUUCGUGGGGGAUCACGUAGGGAAACUUACGCUAAUACCGCAUACCACCUUCGUGUGAAAGCAGUGGAUCUUCGGACCUUGCGCGAAUGAAUGAGCCGAUGUCGAGGUAGCUAGUUGGCGGGGUAAAGGCCCACCAAGUGGCCGAUCCGUAGCUGGUCUGAGGGGAUGAUCAGCCACACUGGAACUGAGACACGGUCCAGACUCCUACGGGAGGCAGCAGUGGGGAAUAUUGGACAAAGGGCGCAAGCCUGAUCCAGCCAUACCGCGUGGGUGAAGAAGGCCUUCGGGUUGUAAAGCCCUUUUGUUGGGAAAGAAAAGCAGCAGGUUAAUACCCCGCUGUUCUGACGGUACCCAAAGAAUAAGCACCGGCUAACUUCGUG
rnacentral:rRNA from 1 species